GAUGAACGCUAGCUACAGGCUUAACACAUGCAAGUCGAGGGGUAACGAGAGGAAAGCUUGCUUUCCUUGUCGACGACCGGCGCACGGGUGAGUAACGCGUAUCCAACCUGCCCCCAACUAGGGAAUAACCUUGCGAAAGUAAGACUAAUACCCUAUAAUUUCCUCAGAUGCCAUCUGACGAGGAAUAAAGAUUUAUCGGUUGUGGAUGGGGAUGCGUCUGAUUAGCUUGUUGGCGGGGUAACGGCCCACCAAGGCAACGAUCAGUAGGGGUUCUGAGAGGAAGGUCCCCACAUUGGAACUGAGACACGGUCCAAACCCCUACGGGAGGCAGCAGUGAGGAAUAUUGGUCAAUGGGCGGAAGCCUGAACCAGCCAAGUAGCGUGCAGGAUGACGGCCCUAUGGGUUGUAAACUGCUUUUAUACAGGAAUAAAGUUAGCCACGUGUGGUUAUUUGUAGGUACUGUAUGAAUAAGGACCGGCUAAUUCCGUGCCAGCAGCCGCCGUAA
rnacentral:rRNA from 1 species